UUGAACGAGGUAAUCAGAGAGAUAAGGAUCGUGAAAGAGCUGCGUCUCGCGUCGGCGGUAGCGCUAAGAAGAGCACCAAGAAAGAUGAUGGCCUCACUCCCGAACAACGCCGUGAAAGGGAUGCAAAGGCGCUGCAAGAGAAGAUGGCGAAGAAGGCCGCCGGUUCCGGCCAAACUAGUGGUGGAGGUACCAGCAACAAGAAAUAACAGCUUAUUCUAAUUUUCUAUUUUAAAUAUAAAUCAAAUAAAUUGAUACUCCAUGAGUUUGUUUAACUGUGCUUUUUCGAUGUGGAAUUAUGAGUUCUAAUGUUCCUUUUUUUUAAUGUCACUGUCCUCGUAACUUGUAUGUUUAUUACAUCUUUAUUGUUUGACUAUUUCCUUUGAUUUCCUUCAAUCAGAAGGGAGUGUUGUUUUUGAGGUUCUUCCUAGAUGAUUUGACCACAGUAUAAACUUUGAGUUGCAUACAAUAAUGGUUUUUGCAAUAAGAGUUAAGAAGGUCACAAAUCUUUACUCUUUCAAUGAUAAAUUGAUAAUGUGAGUGGUGGUGUUGGCCUUCCUUCCCUCGAUGGCUUGUCCAUGGAAUUAAAACUUUAGGUUGUAUACAUCUCCUUCCGAAUAAAUAGAAGUGUUGUUUUGGACUGUUUCUUCCUAUGCAUUCUUUUUGUUACUUUUGUGUAUUUUGAUUCUUGAACUUUGGCCACUAUGCUAUGAAUCAACUUAGCUUGGGCACCAUUAAUGGCAGAAAAUAGUAAAGAGGAUGAUAAUUUUAUUUUAAUGAGCCGGAAAUUACAGGGAAGUAAUCAAUAUUCAACUGUUCAGGAGACUUGAAUCUCUCCCAACGAACUCUUAAAAGCUCAACCAAAUACUUAAUCAAUAUUCAACAUGAUUUCUAUCUCUAAUUUGCCUUGUUUUAAGAGCUUCUACUCUAACAAACUAUCUGUAUUUCUUCAAGUUACUAACAAUAUGCUAUGGAUCAAUAUGAGGGAAAGGGCCACUUUAGGUAGUAUCUUUAUAAGUUAGUUAUGGCCUUAUGGGUAGGUUAGAGAAUAAGUUAGGAAGCUAGUUAGGGAAAAGUGCUAUAUAUUAGCAUAUUAAAGAGAGGAAAGAGAUGUUGAAUAUUGAUGAGUUUUGUGUUGAGCUUUUAAGAGUUCAUUUGAGAGAGAAUCAAGCCUCUCGAAAGCUUGAAUAUUGGUUACUUUUCUGUAAGUCCAGUUCAAUAAUCAAAUCAUCUUCGUCUUCCAUUUAAUUGGUAGCAAAUGGUAUCAUAAUUCAUAGCAAAUGGUUAAAGGUACUUUCUAUAGUGCCCUUAUAUCAGUUCAUUGCACACUAGUAUUGAACCUAACUUCUGGAUGAAUUUUUUUGUUGGAAUGACACUACUUUUGCAGACUGAAUUCACAGAAAUACAAGAGGGGGAAGUUCUAGAUUGCUUACCAUCUUCACUGUUAAAUUAGGAAUCUUUUCCCCUAGAUGGUUUGUCCAUGGAAUUAAAACUUCAGAUUGUAUACAUUUAUACCGGAAAACUAGGAGUGUUGAAUUAAACCAUUUCUUCUUGUGCAUUAUGUUUGUUAUUUUUUCAUAUUUUGCACUUUAAGUUGAAGGGCAACUGCCACUGUACAGCACCUAACUUCUAGAUGCCAAUUUUUGUUGGAUGAAACCCACAUUACUUUUGCAGACUGAAUUCACCGAAAUUCAAGAGGGGGGGAAGGUUCCAGAUUGCUAAAUUUGGAAUCUUUCCCCCUAAUUUAACUGGUUACCUCAGCAUGUUAUGUUUACAUAAUUACAAGUUUAGACUUCGGAUGCACUGGGUUUGACAUUGAUGUUGAGUUCCAAGGACAAGAAAAGUUGUGACCUGUUGUAAAGGGGAAAGUGAUUUUGGAUUGUGAAAUCUUGUUUAUGGCAUAGCAUAAUCACAUACCUCACAAUUUACUGACAUAUCUUGAGUUGUUUUAUGGCUUCAACUCUUUAGAUCAAUAUUAGGAUCUUGAAUGAUUUUCAAGGUGCAGUUUAUUUUUAGAAAUUUCAUUCAAUUUUUUGGUACAUAAUUCUUAAGUUGAGCAGAUAAAAAGUUUCCUACGCAACUAAGGGGUUUCACAUACAGCUAAGGGUGCAGCAAGCUUCAUCAGUAUAAAAAUAACAAAGCUUUGCAGGGGUGUGUUAUAGUGGAAAAAGAUGGCAGUGGGAUUUUUUUGCAUGAGUUUGAUCUGUCAUUCUUUUCCUUCCUCAAGGAGCUGAUCUCAUUCCUGGCCGCUUCAAUGGCAGAAUAGAACUUUUUGGUGUACCUAUUUUGUUAGCUUAGAGCUAGAUUCACUGCAGUAUGUUCAAGGUUGCAUUGUUUAACAUUUGUUUAGAGAUGCUAUCCUUUUCCUGUUUGGCUUUUCUGAUAAAGUAGGUUAGGACGAUGGUUUAUUAUCACCUCAGGACGGGAUAUUGGGAGCAUGGUGUUGUUAUGCCGUUAUUGUGGCAUACCCAGAUGUAUUUCAGACUAAGGUACUGGUUUUACAUGAGGAGAAUCUAAUCUGGCAUAAGUUAGCAUAUUAGAAACCGUCGUCUACUUAUAUGGAUUUCUGUGUGGGUGCUAUGUUACUAAUAAAAUUGUCAGAGGUAUCAGGAUGAGGAAUUCAUACCCAGCAAACACCUGUUUGGUUGUUAUCGGAAAUAAUAUCCGAGCUUUCUGUCUUUUGUUUCUUUAUUUCCCUCUUCCUCUCUUUUGCUUCAUCCAUUCCCUAUUGCAGCUAUUACCUCCUCCACCCUGUUUCUUGUAAUCUUCUGACAAACAUUCUUUGUUUCCAAAAGUUCUCUUUUGAGGCCAUUGUUGGUUUCAUGUGCUCAUGGAAUUUAUUCCAAAGGAGACAAAGAAUCCGAGGGACACUUAUUGAUGUAAAUCUGAGACCAUUGCUACUCUCUUCUAGACUUCUAAAGUUCUAGUAGCUUUCUUGUGUUGCCUUUUAUUGUGGCUGUCUACUUCUGAUUUUUGGCAGUACUUGCAGUGCCAAGGGGAGCUUUUUGAUGCUGAUUGUGUGGUCAAUGCUGUUGCAUGAAGUUAGUGGGUAAUCUCUUUGUCAACUACUUUUUUUAGGUGAAGGCAAUUGCAACUGGCUUGGACUGAGGGUGUGGAGGAGAGGAUCAAAACCGUUAUGCAAACUUGUUGGCUUUGAUUAUAUUCCUUCUCCAGUUCUGUAAUAGAGGAGGGGAAUGAAUAUUAUUCCUUGUUUUCCGAGUCUAUGAAAUUGUUACUUUAAAUUAAAAGUAGAGGACAAGAUCAAACUGUUGUGCAAGACCAUCUUCUUGCUAGCUUCCUUCUCCCAGCUCUGUUUGAAAUUGAUAUAUCAAGUUACCCGUAAGAGAGGCUAAGAUGACAUUAUUUCGUGGGAGGAUGGGUAGUGGUUCCUGGGGAUCGCAUUUCUCCCACAUAAACUAGUUUCUAAUCUUCCUUAUCAAUUUUGGUUCCAAAAUAUAGUAAUGCCCUUUUGGGGUUAUUUUGUACAUUAGCAUUCUGUGUAGCAUUCAGUAUAUCUGGAGGCCAGUUAGUAUUUUAACCAAAUAUGUCCAUUUCCGAUGCAGCCAAAGAUUCAUUUGUUCUUUUGGUUGUGGGAUGUAAUGGACUAAAUCAAAAGGACUCUGAAAACCUCUUCGCUUCCUUUCCAUGAAGUAGAAGAUGGUCGUCCCGUUAUCGCUUUUUGAGUCAAUUAGAAACAACCUUUCUGCAAUUGAAGGGGUAAGGUUGCGUAUACCCGAACCCCCCCCCCCCCCCCCCCUAUCCCGCUUCUUGUGGGAGCCUCUUUGAGGCAAUGGGGUAAUGAUAAUGAUGAUAAUGAUUUGGGACUUUGGGUCUCGAGUUAGUAGCAUAUUCAAUAAGCAUGCUUCCUCGAUGUGGAAAAUUAUCAAAAUGCUUUAUUCAAUCGCAUUUUCACUUAGCAUAUCGAAGUUCUAGUGGAAAGCCCUAUUGAUUGCCCAAUAUGGUUGCACUUGUUCAUUGAAUUUGCAAUGUGGUUUUAGCUCUUUGCUCCUACCCCUGCUUUUCCUUGGUGGAAACAGGGAAGUUACUAGUGUUUUGUAAAAAAAUUACCUUGCUUGGACACAUGGUUUAGGUAUUGGAUAGACGGUUCAGAAACCGGUUGGCACCCUUAUAUAUUGCUUACUAGCAGUCGAAUCGUUGUUGGUUCUGAGGGAAUGGGUUACUUAGACAAUCUGACUCUAUCAACUGGGGCAUGCCCAAGAGUAGGAGCAGUGGACCAUUGUACAGUAACUAUUGAGCUCAGCAAAAGCUGGUGAAGUGUAGCCAGGCAAUUAACAUCAUAGACUGCUGGGGAUGAAAUCUGGGUUAAACUUUAUACAAACGGAAGAAACUGCUGACUGUUGUGAUUCAGGAAGCCAGGCCUAGGUCUGAUGGCAUAUAGUUCCAGUGGAGGAAUGGAUGGGUUUAUAGGCUGAGUGGAAUUUGUGUGCCUUGCAAGUUGCAACUCAGUGAUUCUUUCCUCCUGAUCAUCAAGAAAUUUAGAGGCCAGUGAUAGAUAACUAGUUAGACUCUGAAGCAACACAAAUGCAGCAAGUAGAAGGUGACUAGAGACUUGUUAGGAGUCCUGUGGAGUUUGGCCAUAUUUUUUUCAUGUUUAAAGGAUUCCUGAUAGGGUGUAAAUUAAUUGCAAAACUGAUCCUUUACUUACACCCUUGCCCUCCAAAGGCCCAAAAUAUGUAUGUUAGGUGCACAACUUUCUUUGUUUGGUUGUUUAGGCUAGAGACUUAGAGGAGGUCUUAUUGGACCUUGUAUCAAAAACACUCUUAGGGGGUCCUUGAAGGCCCUAUUUAUUCAAGAUGUCGAGUAUAAAAAACUCUAGGAAUUUAAUAUGUUGAGAACUUGAAACACUUCCCGUAUACUGGGAACAAUGUUCCUCUUGUUCAGUCGUUCUGCCUAGAGAAAUUUAGGUAUGCUUGAUCCACAGGGAGUUUUUAUAUAUGUUUGGAGUACAGGAUAACAGGAGUAGAUACUUGAAAUGAGGAAGAAAUUUAUGAAGAAAUACCCUCUCCAAAAAGUUUUUCCUCGGAAGGAUGUUUUACUUCUUGGUGCCCCCCAUCUAAGGUUGCAAAGUUCAAAGGAUAAACCGCUUUCUGCUGAAUAUUUUGAGAAGAAUUCAGAGACUGGAUGAUAUGGAUGAGUAAAUAUGUGUUGCUAAUGCAAAUAUCCACGAGCUUUUACCACUUUUGGACGAGUAAUAUAUUCUUUAUUUACAUGUUAGUUGUCUGUAAUGCUCAGAUGUUAUGUAAUAUUUGGUUCCUAAUUGAGUGCACUUGGUUUCUUAUCUCACCCUUUAGACAAGACAUUUUUCUUCUGCCUGGUGAUUUUUUUUUGGCAAAUAAAGAUGACUUGGAUAAAGUUUUUGCUGAAGAAUCAGAAUACCAAACUUCCAAGACAUCUUAAUUCUAAACUAGAACAGCAAGCUUACAUUAACAACACUUGUGUCACUUUGUCAGAACUCCUAACAGCAGCUUUGAAAAUAAUAGAGUUGAGCACAGCUUCUAAGUUUUCAUGAUUGUCAGUGUCCCUGUCAAGAUUUCUUUAGUCUGUGGAUGGUUUGGGUUUCAGUAUUUAAGAAUUAGAAUUUAGAAGUCCUUAUCUUUUAGUUUUAUGAAUUGUCGUAAGAUAUAUAUACACCUCUCCAUUAAUUGCUUGUUUGUCAUCACCUCUGCAUGUAGUUUUUGGAGUUUGAAGAAUAUCCGAAGAGUCCUAUUGUCUUGAAUUAACAAGGAAAUUAAGCUUGAAAUCUGAAUUAACAACAAUUCAGAUUGGUGUAAAACAAGUAUGGUUGUUAAUUCAGUUUGUCUGGAAAAGGUCAAUGAUAUAAAACAAUUGAGGAAGUGGUCACGGCUAGUGGAGUUUGGUAUUCACGCCCCCCUUAAUAUAUUGUGGGUAGGAAGGACUUGUUUGUCAGUUUGAAGGCGUGAUAUAAGUAAAUAAAUAAUGUUAUCUGUUAAAGCACAUGGGUAAUGGGUUACAGGAUACAGGAUACAGCAUACAGCAUACAGCAUACAGCAUACAGCAUACAGGGGAAUGAAUAUGGCCACUUUACAUAUAGUAAGCUGUUGUUGUAAAGUUCAGGAGCAGCUAGCUGAAAGGGAAAUAAAUUAGUAUUUAAUACUUAUACUAAUACUAAUACUAAUACUAAUACUUGUGUCUAUGGAUUAAGGUUGCUGCUUAUAUUGUUUCUUAUUCAUGUCCACAUCGUUAGGUGCUAGCUAGGUAUGAUCUGUUGACACAAGGAGUUAUGCUGAGAAUUCAUCUCUGCUAAGUGCUAACCUCUGUUGUUCCUGUUCUUGUGUAUCUUUUUGUGUCUCUGGUAAAAUUUUGGGAGAUCUGUAAAAUGUUAAGUCUGUGACUAUUGUGGCAAGCUCGAAGUUCAAACAUAUAUAUACUACUACAGUUGGUAUUGAAUAUUUUGUUUUGGUGCAGAAUUAUUAAUAAUCUUUUGGUUAUCAGCUUGAUAUAAUCAAAUUGGUUAGGCAUACAUUAAUAUGUGAAGGUAGUACGAUUUGUGAUUAUGCUUGUAAUUCUUGUGUGUUUCAGUUUGGAGUUGAGAAAGAAGAAAAAUGGAUUGAUUAAUGCAGUGAGUAGUAGGUUAUAGUAAUACCAAGUUGGUUAGAUUUGGUGGGCAUUAUGAAUGACAUGACAUGGGGUGAUAGGCAGGUAUAAUUAAGUUGUAGUAUAAUCGAGUUUUUCAUGGUAGUUGAUAGAAAUUACUUGUAUACAAUUAUUUAGUCUACGAAAUGAUAAGGAAAUAAGAAUGUUGAUCUCAGCGGGGUUGAUUUUGUUUGCAUAUAGGAAAGUUUUUGAAAUUGUGAUGUUGGUUAUAAUAAUAAUGUUGGAAAUUAGUGUUUAGAGGAGUGACGAAUGCCUGGAGAAUAAGAUCAAGUUGGGUGGGUGAUGAAUACGUACGAAGUCAUACAUUAUACAGGGAAAGAAUGAAGCAGGCUAGCAGCAAGUGGCAAGUGGUAAGUGGUAAGUGGUGUGUGUGAACUGUGAAGUUAAGCAAGGAUUCUAUUUUUGAAGAGCCUUUUAGUUGUAAAUGUGUAGGUCAUUCAAUUCUGGUAUGUCUUCCUCUUCAUUAGUUUAUAUUUCUUGUCUGCUCGGACUCUCGGAGGUUAAAAGGCCAAGGGGAUAUUCUGGUUCAUUGUAUUUGGCAGACCCUCACCUAUUUGCACUCAACAUUGCCGGAAUAUUAGCUUUGGGAAAUACUUUUAUCAAGUUCCAAUAUUAUGCGAUUUUUAUUUUUUAUUUUUUAUUUUUUGACGGAGAAGAACAAUAUUGAGUCAUACGAUAUUUACAAAUAGCAUAUAGAUUUUAUUUGUUCAGAAAAAAAAAAAUUGAUUUUGGCUAUCUUUCUUUACGGCCUGUUUGAUAGUCGGUCAUAAUUGGUGUCAAUGAGAAUAAAUUUGUAAGGGAAAUCUAUAUCCAUUUCUAUGGUAAUAUGUAAGUUCACCCAAAAUUUUAGUAUAAGCGAUUAAAGAGGCAGACCAUUUAGAAUACAAGGUUGACGCGUGUGGUGAUAGGAGGUUAGUAGUCAACCUAGGCACCUAGCAAACCGAAGAUAAACUAAAGUAAAAAGUGAGCAGGUAGCCCAUCAUUGAUACAACAAUGACAUAAAAACCGUUAAUAUUACAGGGAGUUACAAUGUAUUGUAGCCCACAAAAGUAAAAAUUUGCACUCCGUAGCUUAAAUCAUCUAGAAAUUUGAUGUGGCAAACUUAACCACACUACACUAUAUCUCACCAUUAAAGUUGCUCUAACAAACACGUACAUACGAUGCAACACUUUAGAUAACAUUAAUAAUACUGCUCAGAGGCGGAUCUAGUGGGGGUACAAUUCUCAUAAAAGAAAAAAAAUCCGUUGUGUCUAAAAACCGAUCUAGGUUACACUAAAUAGCGUAACACAACGCAUAACAAACACGGCAACGUUCUGAUAAUACUAAAGAGACCUGUGGAAUAACCGUCUCUUAUAUUCAUGGAUGCCAUAUCUUUAAAAUUCUAUUCAAAAACUUAAAGCACAGUUAUUUGAAACGCAUGGUCUCUUAACUUGAGUAAUUCAUUCCCCCCUUACCAAUUAUAAUUUUGAAAAAGGUAAGUCAUUCAAUUUGUGCUACUUUGGACUUGAAAGGCCUUUUCCAUCUUCUCUCGAUCGGCUUGUUCUCAACAUUUGUCUGGUAAUUUUGUGCUAAAAUUUUGCCGUUUAUUAAAAAUUGGGGCAUUUUUGAUCGAAAAGGAUUGCGAUAUGGGCAGUGUCGAUGCUACGAAACAUAAAAGUUGAGCGUGCUUUUUGGUCCGGUACUAUCACAAUAAUUUUGGGGAGGAAAUCGUGAAAGCAGACAAUUAAGCAUGAGGGUCCUGACUCCUGAGUAAGAGCGACCUGUUAUU